GAUGAACGCUAGCGGCAGGCCUAAUACAUGCAAGUCGAGGGGCAGCACAGGUAGCAAUACCGGGUGGCGACCGGCAAACGGGUGCGGAACACGUACGCAACCUUCCUUUAAGCGGGGAAUAGCCCAGAGAAAUUUGGAUUAAUACCCCAUAAGAAUGUGAUCUGGCAUCAGGUAGCAUUUAAAGAUUUAUCACUUAGAGAUGGGCGUGCGUCUGAUUAGGUAGUUGGUGAGGUAACGGCUCACCAAGCCGACGAUCAGUAACUGGCGUGAGAGCGCGACCAGUCACACGGGCACUGAGACACGGGCCCGACUCCUACGGGAGGCAGCAGUAAGGAAUAUUGGUCAAUGGACGGAAGUCUGAACCAGCCAUGCCGCGUGGAGGAUGAAGGCCCUCUGGGUUGUAAACUUCUUUUAUCUGGGACGAAACACUCUUUUUCUAAGGAGCUUGACGGUACCAGGUGAAUAAGCACCGGCUAACUCCGUGCCAGCAGCCGCGGUAAACAUAC
rnacentral:rRNA from 1 species